GACGAACGCUGGCGGCGUGCUUAACACAUGCAAGUCGAGCGAUGAAGUUCCUUCGGGAAUGGAUUAGCGGCGGACGGGUGAGUAACACGUGGGUAACCUGCCUCAUAGAGGGGAAUAGCCUUCCGAAAGGAAGAUUAAUACCGCAUAAGAUUGUAGUGCCGCAUGGCAUAGCAAUUAAAGGAGCAAUCCGCUAUGAGAUGGACCCGCGUCGCAUUAGCUAGUUGGUGAGGUAACGGAUAACCAAGGCGACGAUGCGUAGCCGACCUGAGAGGGUGAUCGGCCACAUUGGGACUGUGACACGGCCCAGACUCCUACGGGAGGCAGCAGUGGGGAAUAUUGCACAAUGGGGGAAACCCUGAUGCAGCAACGCCGCGUGAGUGAUGACGGUCUUCGGAUUGUAAAACUCUGUCUUCAGGGACGAUAAUGACGGUACCUGAGGAGGAAGCCACGGCUAACUACGUGCCAGCCGCCGCCGUAA
rnacentral:rRNA from 1 species